rnacentral:rRNA from 1 species
CCUACGGGAGGCAGCAGUGAGGAAUAUUGGUCAAUGGGCGCGAGCCUGAACCAGCCAAGUCGCGUGAAGGAUGACUGCCCUACGGGUUGUAAACUUCUUUUAUAAAGGAAUAAAGUGAGGCACGUGUGCCUUUUUGUAUGUACUUUAUGAAUAAGGAUCGGCUAGCUCCGUGCCAGCAGCCGCGGUAAUACGGAGGAUCCGAGCGUUAUCCGGAUUUAUUGGGUUUAAAGGGUGCGUAGAGGGGUUGUUAAGUCAGGUGUGAAAGUGGGCGGCUCAACCGUAAGAGUGCAAUUGAUACUGGCAGCCUUGAGUACAGUUGAGGUAGGCGGAAUUCGUGGUGUAGCGGUGAAAUGCUUAGAUAUCACGAAGAACUCCGAUUGCGAAGGCAGCUUACUAACCUGCCACUGACAUUGAUGCUCGAAAGUGUGGGUAUCAAACAGGAUUAGAUACCCUUGUAGUC